AAACUGCAUUCGAUACUGCCGUGCUAGAGUAAUGGAGAGGUAACUGGAAUUCUCGGUGUAGCAGUGAAAUGCGUAGAUAUCGAGAGGAAGACCAAUGGCGAAAGCAGGUUACUGGACAUUUACUGACGCUGAGGCUCGAAGGCUAGGGUAGCGAAAGGGAUUAGAUACCCCUGUAGUCCUAGCAGUAAACGAUGUGCGCUUGGUGUGGGAGGGUUCGACCCCUUCUGUGCCGGAGCUAACGCGUUAAGCGCACCGCCUGGGGAGUACGGUCGCAAGACUAAAACUCAAAGAAAUUGACGGGGACCCGCACAAGCGGUGGAGUAUGUGGCUUAAUUCGAUGCAACGCGAAGAACCUUACCUAGGCUUGACAUGUAUCGCUAAGCUCCCGAAAAGGAGUGAGCCUUCGGGCACUUUACACAGGUGCUGCAUGGCCGUCGUCAGCUCGUGUCGUGAGAUGUUCGGUUAAGUCCGGCAACGAGCGCAACCCCUGUGGCUAGUUACUAACAUUAAGUUGAGGACUCUAGUCAGACUGCCCAGAUUAACUGGGAGGAAGGUGGGGAUGACGUCAGGUCAGUAUGGCCCUUACGCCUAGGGCUGCACACGUACUACAAUGCUCAGUACAAUGAGAACCGAUACCGCGAGGUGGAGGAAAUCUACAAAACUGGGCUCAGUUCGGAUUGGAGGCUGCAACUCGCCUCCAUGAAGUUGGAAUCGCUAGUAAUGGCACAUCAGCUACGGUGCCGUGAAUACGUUCCCGGGUCUUGUACACACCGCCCGUCACAUCAUGGAAGCCGAUCGCACCCGAAGUACCUGCGUCAACAAUGGCAGGGUCCUAAGGUGUAGUUGGUAACUGGGAUGAAGUCGUAACAAGGUAGCC
rnacentral:rRNA from 1 species